AUUGCUUCUCAGCCUUUUGGUAAGAUCAAAUGUAGUAUCUAUUCUAAUAAGUUUAAAAUUUGAUACAUCCUCUAUCUGAAGACAGUACAUUAAAUGGAUUUUUGGAGCAGAGUGUUGGAUAGGAGCUUGCUCUGUUCACUUCACGCACCAACCUGGAAGUUUGUAGUCUUUCCAGAAAUGGUGCAUUUACA
ensembl:snRNA U2 U2 spliceosomal RNA